GAUGAACGCUGGCGGCGUGCCUAACACAUGCAAGUCGAGCGAUUCUCUUCGGAGAAGAGCGGCGGACGGGUGAGUAACGCGUGGGUAACCUGCCCUGUACACACGGAUAACAUACCGAAAGGUAUGCUAAUACGAGAUAAUAUGCUUUUAUCGCAUGGUAGAAGUAUCAAAGCUUUUGCGGUACAGGAUGGACCCGCGUCUGAUUAGCUAGUUGGUAAGGUAACGGCUUACCAAGGCGACGAUCAGUAGCCGACCUGAGAGGGUGAUCGGCCACAUUGGAACUGAGACACGGUCCAAACUCCUACGGGAGGCAGCAGUGGGGAAUAUUGCACAAUGGGCGAAAGCCUGAUGCAGCAACGCCGCGUGAGCGAUGAAGGCCUUCGGGUCGUAAAGCGUCUGUCCUCAAGGAAGAUAAUGACGGUACUUGAGGAGGAAGCCCGGCUAAC
rnacentral:rRNA from 1 species